GGAGACGUGGCUGAGCUGGCCUAAGGCACUCGUUUUGAAAACGAGCGUGGGUAACACCGCCGUAGGUUCGAAUCCUACCGUCUCCGCCA
rnacentral:tRNA from 1 species